GGAGGGAUGGAUGAGUGGUUUAAGUCGCACGCCUGGAAAGCGUGUGUGGGUCAACAGCCCACCGCGGGUUCGAAUCCCGCUCCCUCCGCCA
rnacentral:tRNA from 2 species